rnacentral:rRNA from 1 species
AGGGCACCACCAGGUGUGGAGCCUGCGGCUUAAUUUGACUCAACACGGGGAAACUCACCAGGUCCAGACACGACAAGGAUUGACAGAUUGAUAGCUCUUUCUUGAUUUCGUGGUUGGUGGUGCAUGGCCGUUCUUAGUUGGUGGAGUGAUUUGUCUGGUUAAUUCCGAUAACGAACGAGACCUUAACCUGCUAAAUAGCCCGGCCGACUUUGGUUGGCCGCUGGCUUCUUAGAGGGACUAUCAGCGUUUAGCUGAUGGAAGUUUGAGGCA